GACGAACGCUGGCGGCGUGCUUAACACAUGCAAGUCGAACGGAAAGGCCCUGCUUUUGUGGGGUGCUCGAGUGGCGAACGGGUGAGUAACACGUGAGUAACCUGCCCUUGACUUUGGGAUAACUUCAGGAAACUGGGGCUAAUACCGGAUAGGAGCUCCUGCUGCAUGGUGGGGGUUGGAAAGUUUCGGCGGUUGGGGAUGGACUCGCGGCUUAUCAGCUUGUUGGUGGGGUAGUGGCUUACCAAGGCUUUGACGGGUAGCCGGCCUGAGAGGGUGACCGGCCACAUGGGGACUGAGAUACGGCCCAGACUCCUACGGGAGGCAGCAGUGGGGAAUAUUGCACAAUGGGCGGAAGCCUGAUGCAGCAACGCCUGGGGCGGGAUGGCGGCCUUCGGGUUGGAAACCGCUUUCGCCUGUGACGAAGCGUGAGGGACGGUAAUGGGUAAAGAAGCACCGGCUAACUACGG
rnacentral:rRNA from 1 species